rnacentral:lncRNA from 1 species
AUUGGUGACCUUUGAAAACUUAUUUGGGUUCUUUUAUUUGAUGUUUAGAGCAUAAAUUAUGUAAAUAUUAUAAAAAAAAAAGGAUUGAAGAAGGAUUUUGGUAGCAAAGGGAAUAAUUAAGGCACCAAUAUAGAUGAAUGGAGAUGAAUGAUGAAAAUUUCCAUUCCUAUUGGUCAAAAAUCAUGACCAAUAGGCUUUGAGGAGGCUGUCCGAGGCCAUAUUAGGGAUUAGGAUUAGUUAUUCAAGGCGUUCGAGCUUUGAAGGCUAGGAUCAAUAAGUUUAGGUUUUUGGCUAUGGUUUUGGUGCAAAUUUUGUAUGGUUUGGAGUUUAUAUGAAGGAGAUACAAGCGCUCAAAGUUAAGGUAUUGAUUUAGGAGCUAUUGUCACUCUUUUUAGCAUAACGCACGCGUAUAGAUAGCAAUCAAGGAUUGGCGAUUGCAACUAGAGAGAUCUUUUUUGCGGCUACACUUUUCACAUAUUUCUUAUUGGAUUCUAAGUUGGAAUAAAGGAGUUAUUGGAUUUUGAAGUGAGUGCAUGCAAUUUAAGGGUAGUAAGUGAUCCGAUUUACUAGUGGUUGUGUCUUGAGCUAUAUCUUGAGCAAUUUGAUAAGG